rnacentral:rRNA from 1 species
UACGUAGGGGGCUAGCGUUGUCCGGAAUCAUUGGGCGUAAAGCGCGUGUAGGCGGUCCGGUAAGUCCGCUGUGAAAGUCGGGGGCUCAACCCUCGGAUGCCGGUGGAUACUGUCGGGCUUGAGUACGGAAGAGGCGAGUGGAAUUCCUGGUGUAGCGGUGAAAUGCGCAGAUAUCAGGAGGAACACCAAUUGCGAAGGCAGCUCGCUGGGACGUAACUGACGCUGAGACGCGAAAGCGUGGGGAGCAAACAGG